GACGAACGCUGGCGGCGUGCCUAAUACAUGCAAGUCGAACGAACUCUGGUAUUGAUUGGUGCUUGCAUCAUGAUUUACAUUUAAGUGAGUGGCGAACUGGUGAGUAACACGUGGGAAACCUGCCCAGAAGCGGGGGAUAACACCUGGAAACAGAUGCUAAUACCGCAUAACAACUUGGACCGCAUGGUCCGAGCUUGAAAGAUGGCUUCGGCUAUCACUUUUGGAUGGUCCCGCGGCGUAUUAGCUAGAUGGUGGGGUAACGGCUCACCAUGGCAAUGAUACGUAGCCGACCUGAGAGGGUAAUCGGCCACAUUGGGACUGAGACACGGCCCAAACUCCUACGGGAGGCAGCAGUAGGGAAUCUUCCACAAUGGACGAAAGUCUGAUGGAGCAACGCCGCGUGAGUGAAGAAGGGUUUCGGCUCGUAAAACUCUGUUGUUAAAGAAGAACAUAUCUGAGAGUAACUGUUCAGGUAUUGACGGUAUUUAACCAGAAAGCCACGGCUAACUACGUGCCAGCAGCCGCGGUAAUACGUAGGUGGCAAGCGUUGUCCGGAUUUAUUGGGCGUAAAGCGAGCGCAGGCGGUUUUUUAAGUCUGAUGUGAAAGCCUUCGGCUCAACCGAAGAAGUGCAUCGGAAACUGGGGAACUUGAGUGCAGAAGAGGACAGUGGAACUCCAUGUGUAGCGGUGAAAUGCGUAGAUAUAUGGAAGAACACCAGUGGCGAAGGCGGCUGUCUGGUCUGUAACUGACGCUGAGGCUCGAAAGUAUGGGUAGCAAACAGGAUUAGAUACCCUGGUAGUCCAUACCGUAAACGAUGAAUGCUAAGUGUUGGAGGGUUUCCGCCCUUCAGUGCUGCAGCUAACGCAUUAAGCAUUCCGCCUGGGGAGUACGGCCGCAAGGCUGAAACUCAAAGGGAUUGACGGGGGCCCGCACAAGCGGUGGAGCAUGUGGUUUAAUUCGAAGCUACGCGAAGAACCUUACCAGGUCUUGACAUACUAUGCAAAUCUAAGAGAUUAGACGUUCCCUUUGGGGACAUGGAUACAGGUGGUGCAUGGUUGUCGUCAGCUCGUGUCGUGAGAUGUUGGGUUAAGUCCCGCAACGAGCGCAACCCUUAUUAUCAGUUGCCAGCAUUAAGUUGGGCACUCUGGUGAGACUGCCGGUGACAAACCGGAGGAAGGUGGGGAUGACGUCAAAUCAUCAUGCCCCUUAUGACCUGGGCUACACACGUGCUACAAUGGAUGGUACAACGAGUUGCGAACUCGCGAGAGUAAGCUAAUCUCUUAAAGCCAUUCUCAGUUCGGAUUGUAGGCUGCAACUCGCCUACAUGAAGUCGGAAUCGCUAGUAAUCGCGGAUCAGCAUGCCGCGGUGAAUACGUUCCCGGGCCUUGUACACACCGCCCGUCACACCAUGAGAGUUUGUAACACCCAAAGUCGGUGGGGUAACCUUUUAGGAACCAGCCGCCUAAGGUGGGACAGAUGAUUAGGGUG
rnacentral:rRNA from 2 species